GACGAACCGUGCAAACGUUAUUCGGAAUCACUGGGCAUAAAGGGCGCGUAGGCGGCUCCAAAAGUCAGGGGUGAAAUCCGGCAGCUUAACUGUCGCAGUGCCUUUGAUACUGUGGAGCUAGAGGGAGGUAGGGGUCUGUGGAACUUCCGGUGGAGCGGUGAAAUGCGUUGAUAUCGGAAGGAACGCCGGUGGCGAAAGCGGCAUCCUGGACCAACACUGACACUGAGGAGCGAAAGCCAGGGGAGCAAACGGG
rnacentral:rRNA from 1 species